CUGCAUCUUGUCGGACUCCAGGGCAUCCGCCGUGAGGUUGCAGAUCUCCAGCUUUGUGAAAUGGUAGAUGAAAUCGUCAUAUGACAUCCUGAGAGGUUGGAAGAGAGAGACCCAUAUGGGAGGCUGGGAGAGGUUCUGCGAGGACACAGAGUCCUCUGUGCUCUGAAUGUGGACAUCCUGGCCAUGAGAAGGCCCUCCUGGCUCUUUUAGAGAGUUAAGAAGACAUAGCCCAGACAAGUGGUCUCCCUCAAGCUGGUUGCCCUGAAAAGGUCUGUUCUGACCAUCGGAGAACAGUAUGAGGCUGGGACAAUGUCGAUGUAGGUAGAAGACCCUUUAAAUAUCAGAGGGAAACUAGCAGCUUGAUGGCACAGGGAAGAAACGAAAACGAGGGCCUGGCUGCCUUACCCGUGUUCAGAGGGCAGCAGGACCUGAACCUGAACCUGAAAAGAAGACCUUCUCUCAAGCCUUCAGUCCUGAGAUACAAAAUCAGUAGGGCCUUCCUCUGCAGCCUCGUUCUCCCAUACAGACCGGACUGGCCGCCCUCCAGGUCUGGAGCAGUGGCCUGGGAUGGACUGGGCCCUUCUGGUGCCAUUCACUUCCCGGAUCUUAACGCUUCUUUGGUUUACUCCUUGAUUGGAUUGGCCGACAACUUGC